UACGAGGGGGGCAAAUGUUGUUCGGAAUCACUGGGCGUAAAGGGAGCGUAGGCGGAUUGUUAAGCCAGGGGUGAAAUCCUGGAGCUCAACUCCAGAACUGCCUUUGAUACUGGCGAUCUCGAGUCCGGGAGAGGUGAGUGGAACUGCGAGUGUAGAGGUGAAAUUCGUAGAUAUUCGCAAGAACACCAGUGGCGAAGGCGGCUCACUGGCCCGGUACUGACGCUGAGGUGCGAAAGCGUGGGGAGCAAACAGG
rnacentral:rRNA from 1 species